rnacentral:rRNA from 1 species
AAUCAACGGCAUCACGAGGAUCCCACUGUCUCCCCCCUCCAAUCAGUGAAACUGAUCUCUCCGUGAAGAAGCGGGGAUACAAAUAUAAGACGAGAAGACCCCAUGGAGCUUUAAACCCAACAGCACCCGUUUAUUUUCAUCCUCACAUAAGUUAGGUUAUGCCUGUUUGGUUUUAGGUUGGGGUGACCACGGAGUAUAAAACAACCUCCAUGAAAAAAGGACCAAAAAUCCUUAUUAGAGAAAGACAUUUCUAAAAUUAAUAAAUUAAUUUUUAAUGAUCCGAUAUUCGAUCAACGAACCAAGUUACCCUGGGGAUAACAGCGCAAUCCACUU